rnacentral:rRNA from 1 species
GUGCCAGCCGCCGCGGUAAUACUGAGGGUGCGAGCGUUAAUCGGAAUUACUGGGCGUAAAGCGAGUGUAGGCGGUUGCCUAAGUCGGAUGUGAAAGCCCCGGGCUUAACCUGGGAAUUGCAUUCGAUACUGGGCGACUGGAGUUUGGUAGAGGUAAGUGGAAUUCCGGGUGUAGCGGUGAAAUGCGUAGAUAUCCGGAGGAACAUCAGUGGCGAAGGCGGCUUACUGGACCAAAACUGACGCUGAGGCUCGAAAGCGUGGGUAGCAAACAGGAUUAGAUACCCCUGUAGUCC